rnacentral:ribozyme from 1 species
CAGUCAUCGUCGGCUAGCAAACAGCACCCACAACGACCCUAACACUACCACUACCAGCAACACUACCAGCAGCAACAGCCGCCAACAUCCAUCCGACUCGACUACUCUCGGAGAACAAUU